GGACCCGUAGCGUAGCCUGGAUAGCGCGACAGCCUUCUAAGCUGUAGAUCGUGAGUUCAAAUCCAGAUGUCACACCGCUUCAAAAAGAAAAAUAAAGGAGUGACAGUGGGAGAAAGUCUCACCGGGUCCG
rnacentral:tRNA from 1 species